UGUGGUACUGUGGUACUAUGGUACUGUGGCACACAGUACCGUAGUACCACAAUACCACA
rnacentral:miRNA from 1 species